rnacentral:rRNA from 1 species
AUCGCCUCUUGAACUACAAUAAGAGGUCCAGCCUGCCCAGUGACACUGUUCAACGGCCGCGGUAUCCUAACCGUGCGAAGGUAGCGUAAUCACUUGUUCUUUAAUUGAGGACUAGUAUGAAUGGCCCCACGAAGACUAUGCUGUCUCCUUUUUCUAAUCAAUGAAACUAAUCUCCCCGUGAAGAAGCGGGGAUAACUCUAUAAGACGAGAAGACCCUAUGGAGCUUUAAACAACUGAAGUAUUUGCUUUCAUUUAACAGCUUCAGAAAACUAAACAUAUUUAAGCAUUUUUAACUUCUAGUUUUAGGUUGGGGUGACCAUGGAGUAAAACUUAACCUCCAUGCUGAAAGAUUUAACCUUCUUAGCAAAAAGCCACAUCUUUAUGCAUCAUCAAACUGACUUACAUUGACCCAAUUAUUUGAUCAACGAACCAAGUUACCCUAGGGAUAACAGCGCAAUCUACUUCAAGAGCCCAUAUCGACAAGUAGGUUUACGACCUCGAUGUUGGAUCAGGGUAUCCUAGUGGUGCAGCCGCUACUAAAGGUUCGUUUGUUCAACGAUUAAAACCCU